rnacentral:rRNA from 1 species
GAUGAACGCUAGCGGCAGGCCUAACACAUGCAAGUCGAGGGGUAACAGAAAGAGCUUGCUCUUUGCUGACGACCGGCGCACGGGUGCGUAACGCGUAUACAAUCUACCUAUCACUGAGGGAUAGCCCGAAGAAAUUUGGAUUAAUACCUCAUAGUAUUAUAGAAUCGCAUGGUUUUAUAAUUAAAGGUUACGGUGAUAGAUGACUAUGCGUUCUAUUAGCUAGAUGGUGUGGUAACGGCAUACCAUGGCAACGAUCAUUAGGGGUUCUGAGAGGAAGGUCCCCCACACUGGUACUGAGACACGGACCAGACUCCUACGGGAGGCAGCAGUGAGGAAUAUUGGUCAAUGGGCGCAAGCCUGAACCAGCCAUGUCGCGUGCAGGAAGACUGCCCUAUGGGUUGUAAACUGCUUUUAUACGGGAAUAACCACAGAUACGUGUAUCUGUCUGUAUGUACCGUACGAAUAAGGAUCGGCUAACUCCGUGCCAGCAGCCGCGGUAAUACGGAGGAUUCGAGCGU